rnacentral:rRNA from 1 species
AUGGAGGCAUAUUCCACACCUAAGCCACCUUUACAAGGGACAAAAUUUGACACCCUAGAGAGCGCACGUGACCACUACAGCACCUACGCGCAUAGGACUGGCUUUGCAAUUAGGCAACAAUUCAAGAAAGAGAGGGUUGAUGGAACUAUAAGCAGGGUGCUACUAGUUUGUACAAAAUAUGGCAAACGACGCAAGGACAGGGAUGAGCUGCAAGAUGUGGAAAACCCAGCCAGCAUUGUCAAGAAGAGGAAAAAAAGAGUUUUUAGGACUGAAUGUGAAGCGCACAUGUACCUAUCCCACGAUGAUGCAUGGUGGAAUGUUGACCGUUUCGAGGACACCCACAAUCACCCCAUCAAAAAGCCGUCCCUAACAAAAUUCUUAUCAUCACAUCAGUACAUUCCGAAGGAGGAGCAGGACUUCUUGAGGGUUCUGCACGGAUACAACAUUGAGACUGUGAGGCAGAUGCAGCUGAUGUCAUGGUUCUACGGGAGCGCUAAAGAUGUACCCUACACGACACAAGACAUUGCUAAUCAACGAGCUAAGUUCCGCUUAGAGCACCGCCACAAGGACGUUGGGAGCACAAUUGCAUACUUCCAAGAGAUGAGGGCCAAAGAUUCAUAUUUCUACUGGAGAAUCAAACUUGAUGAUGAGUACAGGGAAUAUGGCCAGAUCGACAAUGAACAUUUUCAAUGGCUGUGGGAAAAUAGGAAAUGUUGGGCCCCAGUGUACUACAUGAAGCAUUUCUUUCCAUUCUUGCAGACAACUGCAAGGAGCGAGGGAUUGAAUGCUGUGCUCAAGAAGUACGUGAACCCCAACAACUCAUUGAUUGAAUUCACAACUCAAUACACUGCAAGCCAGGAGAAAGUAAUGGUGGAUGUGGCGAAAGAGCAAGUGGACACAAUUUACAAAGAGGCAGACAUGUAUUCGUUGAACCCAAUCGAGUUACAGAUGCGAGGGAUAUACACACAAAAUAUGUUCUCCAAGUUCCAGAUAGAGAUGAAGCUAAAGACUGCUUACGAUGCGACACUUUGCGAUGGAACCUUCAGGAUGUGGUCGCUCCGAGGCAUACUACCAAAGUAUGGGGAUAGGGACUACCAUGUGCAGGCGAACAAGGAUGAAGGGGUAUACUCAUGCACUUGCUGCAAGUUUGAUCGCGAUGGGCUAUUGUGUGCACACAUACUACGAGUAAUGGAACAUAUUGGAGUCUACGAGAUACCGAGGAGGUAUAUCCUGGAUAGGUGGACAUGGGAUCCAGAAGAGGAUCUUGUUCAGCCUGAUUACCAACAGCCAACAAUUAAGAAGGGUAUGACAGAAGAAGGAAAAAAUAUGACAUAUACAUCUAUUCUGAAUGAUUUCAAGGAACAAGCAAAAGACGCUUGCACUACUGAUGAAGGGAUGGCAUUGGCAAGGAAACAUGUUAAUGCUUUCAGAGACGAAAUGGAUGCACUAAAAAAGAGGCAACUAAAGAAAGCAAGAAAGGAAAAAGAUGAGGGAAAAGAAGCACAAAUGUUUUCUUCACCACCAGGGACUAGUGCCACCGAAGGUGUCCCAGUAGCGCAUCAAGGAAGCAUUCCUGUCACGCAUGUGUCUGGCGAUAUUUUCCAGUUCCAGGGCUCACAUGCCGAGGGAUCCCAAUCAUCAAACACAAGAGUGAUACUAGACCCACCAAAGUCUACUACGAAAGGGCGUCCGAGAGAGAAAAGAUUCCAGCACCCAUUUGACAUUGCAAAGCCAAAAAAAAGAGAGGAAGUGUAG